UAAGGAAUAUUGGACAAUGGAGGCAACUCUGAUCCAGCCAUGCCGCGUGAAGGAAUAAGGCCCUAUGGGUUGUAAACUUCUUUUAGACGGGACAAAACCCCUUUACGUGUAAAGGGUUGAUGGUACUGUCAGAAUAAGCAUCGGCUAACUUCGUGCCAGCAGCCGCGGUAAUACGAAGGAUGCAAGCGUUAUCCGGAAUUAUUGGGUUUAAAGGGUGCGUAGGCGGACUAAUAAGUCAGUGGUGAAAGCCUGCAGCUUAACUGCAGAAUUGCCAUUGAUACUGUUAGUCUUGAGUACAGUUGAGGUAGGCGGAAUGUGUCAUGUGGCGGUGAAAUGCUUAGAUAUGACACAGAACACCGACUGCGAAGGCAGCUUGCUAAGCUGUAACUGACGCUGAGGCACGAAAGCGUGGGGAGCAAACA
rnacentral:rRNA from 1 species